AAAUCUCUUAAAGCCGUUCUCAGUUCGGAUUGUAGGCUGCAACUCGCCUACAUGAAGUCGGAAUCGCUAGUAAUCGCGGAUCAGCAUGCCGCGGUGAAUACGUUCCCGGGCCUUGUACACACCGCCCGUCACACCAUGAGAGUUUGUAACACCCAAAGCCGGUGGGGUAACCUUUUGGAGCCAGCCGUCUAAGGUGGGACAGAUGAUUGGGGUGAAGUCGUAACAAGGUAUC
rnacentral:rRNA from 1 species